rnacentral:rRNA from 1 species
UACGUAGGGGGCAAGCGUUGUCCGGAUUUACUGGGUUUAAAGGGUGUGUAGGCGGGCUUUUAAGUCAGUGGUGAAAUCUCCGGGCUCAACCUGGAAACUGCCAUUGAUACUAUUAGUCUUGAAUUCUGUUGAGGUGGGCGGAAUAAGUCAUGUAGCGGUGAAAUGCAUAGAUAUGACUUAGAACACCAAUUGCGAAGGCAGCUCACUAAACAGAGAUUGACGCUGAGGCACGAAAGCGUGGGGAUCAAACAGG